CGGGCACUCCUGGUGCUAUGGCCUCACUGCCUACAAAGCUAAGUGCACAGCGUGGCUGGAAAAUUGGGAUCGAGACAAGCUGUGUAGAAGAGCACACUUCUCAGUUUGGCAAGCUGCGACAGGUCGAACCGGGCACAGAGAGAUUUGCACAGGUCCUGAUAAGAAACGGUAUUUUGCUUGCUGUCCAGUUCCUCCAAGAUCUUCACCAAGAAGAGGGAAGUUUCCUGACUGGUCUCCAUGAUUUAUUACUUGAAGAGCUCUCUGACUACACUGAAACUUCAGGUCAGUUCUGUGGUGGCAAUAUUGAGAAAGAGAGGAGGAAAAGAGGAUUAUAAACACCAGUGGAGUUUGAAGUCAAGCUCCUUAUAAACCAUAUAAAGAAAUACAGAGAAAAACAUUUUAAUGAUUAAAAAUGUAAUAAGGACAGUAAAAAUAUUCAUAACAUUCGAUUUAGUAAUUCCCUUCCUGGGAAUCUACCUUAAUGAUUGAUAACAAUUAUGCUUAAAGGUGUUCACUAUGAUGGCACUUGUAAUAAUGAAAAAGCAAAACAUCUUAAAUAUCCAAAUAGGAGAAUACAUAAACAUGUUAUGAUAUAACAUGAAUUUUUACAAACAUUGAAACUACAUUAAUGUACAUUCUUACAAUGGACUACUACGCAUCAGCAAAAAAGAACAAACCACUAGUACAUGCAAGGACGUGGAUGAAUCUCGAAUGUAUCGUGUGUGGGUGGAAGAAGCCAGAGUCAGAAGGUACAUCCUCCACUGCAUGAUUCCAUCUUAAUGACAUUCUGGAAGACAGAUCAGUGGUUGCCAAGACCUGGAUGUGAGGAGGAGGGUUGACCUCAAAGGGGCACAGAGAAGUUUUCCUAAAUGAUAUCAUUGUUCUACAUCCUGGUUGUGGUGGUGGUUACAUGACUGUAGGCAUUUGUCAAAACUCACAGGACUCUAAACUAGAAAGU
rnacentral:lncRNA from 1 species